rnacentral:rRNA from 1 species
GACAGAGGUGCCGAGCGUUAGGCGGAAUCACUGGGCUUAAAGCGUGUGUAGGCGGAUCCGUAAGUACCUUGUGAAAUCCCACGGCUCAACCGUGGAACGGCUGGGUAUACUGCGGGUCUUGAGCCACUUAGGGGCAACCGGAACAAACGGUGGAGCGGUGAAAUGCGUAGAUAUCGUUUGGAACGCCGAUGGUGAAAACAGGUUGCUGGGAGUGCGCUGACGCUGAGACACGAAAGCCAGGGGAGCGAACGGG